rnacentral:rRNA from 1 species
UACAGAGGUCUCAAGCGUUGUUCGGAUUCAUUGGGCGUAAAGGGUGCGUAGGCGGCGCGGUAAGUCGGGUGUGAAAUCUUGGAGCUUAACUCCGAAACUGCAUUCGAUACUGCCGUGCUGGAGUACUGGAGAGGAGAUUGGAAUUUACGGUGUAGCAGUGAAAUGCGUAGAUAUCGUAAGGAAGACCAGUGGCGAAGGCGGAUCUCUGGACAGUUACUGACACUGAGGCACGAAGGCCAGGGGAGCAAACGGG